GACGAACGCUGGCGGCAUGCCUAAUACAUGCAAGUCGAGCGAACAGAUGAAGUGCUUGCACUUCUGACGUUAGCGGCGAACGGGUGAGUAACACGUAAGGAAUCUACCUAUAAGCGGGGGAUAACAUUCGGAAACGGGUGCUAAUACCGCAUAAUAUCUUCUUCCGCAUGGAAGAAGAUUGAAAGACGGCUCUGCUGUCACUUAUAGAUGACCUUGCGGUGCAUUAGUUAGUUGGGGGGGUAACGGCCUACCAAGACGAUGAUGCAUAGCCGACCUGAGAGGGUGAUCGGCCACAUUGGGACUGAGACACGGCCCAAACUCCUACGGGAGGCAGCAGUAGGGAAUCUUCCGCAAUGGGCGAAAGCCUGACGGAGCAAUGCCGCGUGAGUGAAGAAGGCCUUUGGGUCGUAAAACUCUGUUAUAAGAGAAGAACAAAUUGUAGAGUAACUGCUACAGUCUUGACGGUAUCUUAUCAGAAAGCCACGGCUAACUACGUGCCAGCCGCCGCAGUAA
rnacentral:rRNA from 1 species